UGUUAAUUGUAAUUUAAAUUUUAUUCUGAGUGGAACAAUCAUAUAUGUAUAGAUUAAUUCAACAUUUGACCAGAAUGAAUGCAAUAAAAAUUGUAUGUCUCGUAACUUUAAGGAUAAUUAGUACUCUUGGUGAAAAUUCCAAUAAUGGAGUGAACUGUCUCUCGAUUGAAGAAAGUCGCUAUGGAGAACUUCAUUGUAGAAAUAUUUCAAGUGUUUCUAUUAAACCAUUUUGGUUUGACGAACACCAGAAAUGUGCAUAUCAUAUUUCUUCAACAAGUCUAAAUGGACGUUUAACAAUGGAAUGUCAUGGUUACUUCACGUGCCAUACUAAUAACUAUCGAUCAAACCGACCAAAGAGGUAUCAACACCCGAACAGACGUUUUCAUUGUAACGACUGUUUUCCACUAUACUCUGGAGAUAUAGCAAGAAUCAAAUGCCAGGCAUCCAGUGCAGUAAACAUUGACAAUAUGAAGUAUGAUAACGAAAUUUGUGAAGCUCCCAUGUUGUCCAAAAACCAAUAUCUCUCAGAAAAGAAAAUAUGUGAAAAUUCGUUUACAUGUUCCAUCGAAAACACUGAUAAAAAUGAAAGCAUUGAUGUUCACU